rnacentral:rRNA from 1 species
GACGAACGCUGGCGGCGUGCCUAAUACAUGCAAGUCGAACGCUUCUUUCCUCCCGAGUGCUUGCACUCAAUUGAGUGGCGGACGGGUGAGUAACACGUGGGUAACCUACCCAUCAGAGGGGGAUAACACUUGGAAACAGGUGCUAAUACCGCAUAACAGUUUAUGCCGCAUGGCAUAAGAGUGAAAGGCGCUUUCGGGUGUCGCUGAUGGAUGGACCCGCGGUAGUUGGUGAGGUAACGGCUCGGGGGGGGGGGGGGGGGGCGGCCCAGACUCCUACGGGAGGCAGCAGUAGGGAAUCUUCGGCAAUGGACGAAAGUCUGACCGAGCAACGCCGCGUGAGUGAAGAAGGUUUUCGGAUCGUAAAACUCUGUUGUUAGAGAAGAACAAGGACGUUAGUAACUGAACGUCCCCUGACGGUAUCUAACCAGAAAGCCACGGCUAACUACGUGCCAGCAGCCGCGGUAAUACGUAGGUGGCAAGCGUUGUCCGGAUUUAUUGGGCGUAAAGCGAGCGCAGGCGGUUUCUUAAGUCUGAUGUGAAAGCCCCCGGCUCAACCGGGGAGGGUCAUUGGAAACUGGGAGACUUGAGUGCAGAAGAGGAGAGUGGAAUUCCAUGUGUAGCGGUGAAAUGCGUAGAUAUAUGGAGGAACACCAGUGGCGAAGGCGGCUCUCUGGUCUGUAACUGACGCUGAGGCUCGAAAGCGUGGGGAGCAAACAGGAUUAGAUACCCUGGUAGUCCACGCCGUAAACGAUGAGUGCUAAGUGUUGGAGGGUUUCCGCCCUUCAGUGCUGCAGCAAACGCAUUAAGCACUCCGCCUGGGGAGUACGACCGCAAGGUUGAAACUCAAAGGAAUUGACGGGGGCCCGCACAAGCGGUGGAGCAUGUGGUUUAAUUCGAAGCAACGCGAAGAACCUUACCAGGUCUUGACAUCCUUUGACCACUCUAGAGAUAGAGCUUUCCCUUCGGGGACAAAGUGACAGGUGGUGCAUGGUUGUCGUCAGCUCGUGUCGUGAGAUGUUGGGUUAAGUCCCGCAACGAGCGCAACCCUUAUUGUUAGUUGCCAUCAUUUAGUUGGGCACUCUAGCGAGACUGCCGGUGACAAACCGGAGGAAGGUGGGGAUGACGUCAAAUCAUCAUGCCCCUUAUGACCUGGGCUACACACGUGCUACAAUGGGAAGUACAACGAGUCGCUAGACCGCGAGGUCAUGCAAAUCUCUUAAAGCUUCUCUCAGUUCGGAUUGCAGGCUGCAACUCGCCUGCAUGAAGCCGGAAUCGCUAGUAAUCGCGGAUCAGCACGCCGCGGUGAAUACGUUCCCGGGCCUUGUACACACCGCCCGUCACACCACGAGAGUUUGUAACACCCGAAGUCGGUGAGGUAACCUUUUUGGAGCCAGCCGCCUAAGGUGGGAUAGAUGAUUGGGGUG